rnacentral:rRNA from 1 species
ACGGCCAUACCAUGAUGAAAUCACCGGUUCUCGUCCGAUCGCCGAAGUUAAGCAUAAUCGGGCGCGGUCAGUACUUGGGAGGGGGACCACCUGGGAACACCGCGUGCCGUCG